rnacentral:rRNA from 1 species
UACGUAGGGGGCUAGCGUUGUCCGGAAUCAUUGGGCGUACAGCGCGUUUAGGCGGUCCGGUAAGUCCGCUGUGAAAGUCGGGGGCUCAACCCUCGAAAGCCGGUGGAUACUGUCGGGCUAGAGUACGGAAGAGGCGAGUGGAAUUCCUGGUGUAGCGGUGAAAUGCGCAGAUAUCAGGAGGAACACCAAUUGCGAAGGCAGCUCGCUGGGACGUUACUGACGCUGAGACGCGAAAGCGUGGGGAGCAAACAGG